CUCCGUCAGGUCAGCGGAAGUUGGUGGUUGAGUUACAUGAAAAUAGGUGACUUUGAGCCGGAUACAAAGCACUGCGAGCUGCCGGUUGUUACAGUUAAAUGUUAUUCCACAAAAUAUGAG